GGUUAACCGAAUAGGGGAGCCGGAGGGAAACCGAGUCUUAACCGGGCGUUAAGUUGCAGGGUAUAGACCCGAAACCCGGUGAUCUAGCCAUGGGCAGGUUGAAGGUUGGGUAACACUAACUGGAGGACCGAACCGACUAAUGUUGAAAAAUUAGCGGAUGACCUGUGGCUGGGGGUGAAAGGCCAAUCAAACCGGGAGAUAGCUGGUUCUCCCCGAAAGCUAUUUAGGUAGCGCCUCGUGAAUUCAUCUCCGGGGGUAGAGCACUGUUUCGGCUAGGGGGCCAUCCCGGCUUACCAACCCGAUGCAAACUGCGAAUACCGGAGAAUGUUAUCACGGGAGACACACGGCGGGUGCUAACGUCCGUCGUGAAGAGGGAAACAACCCAGACCGCCAGCUAAGGUCCCAAAGUCAUGGUUAAGUGGGAAACGAUGUGGGAAGGCCCAGACAGCCAGGAUGUUGGCUUAGAAGCAGCCAUCAUUUAAAGAAAGCGUAAUAGCUCACUGGUCGAGUCGGCCUGCGCGGAAGAUGUAACGGGGCUAAACCAUGCACCGAAGCUGCGGCAGCGACACUGUGUGUUGUUGGGUAGGGGAGCGUUCUGUAAGCCUGUGAAGGUGUGUCGUGAGGCAUGCUGGAGGUAUCAGAAGUGCGAAUGCUGACAUAAGUAACGAUAAAGCGGGUGAAAAGCCCGCUCGCCGGAAGACCAAGGGUUCCUGUCCAACGUUAAUCGGGGCAGGGUGAGUCGACCCCUAAGGCGAGGCCGAAAGGCGUAGUCGAUGGGAAACGGGUUAAUAUUCCCGUACUUGGUGUUACUGCGAAGGGGGGACGGAGAAGGCUAUGUUGGCCGGGCGACGGUUGUCCCGGUUUAAGCGUGUAGGUGUGUGUUCCAGGUAAAUCCGGUUCACUUUAACACUGAGGCGUGACGACGAGGCACUACGGUGCUGAAGCAACAAAUGCCCUGCUUCCAGGAAAAGCCUCUAAGCAUCAGGUAACAUCAAAUCGUACCCCAAACCGACACAGGUGGUCAGGUAGAGAAUACCAAGGCGCUUGAGAGAACUCGGGUGAAGGAACUAGGCAAAAUGGUGCCGUAACUUCGGGAGAAGGCACGCUGACACGUAGGUGAAGUGAUUUACUCAUGGAGCUGAAGUCAGUCGAAGAUACCAGCUGGCUGCAACUGUUUAUUAAAAACACAGCACUGUGCAAACACGAAAGUGGACGUAUACGGUGUGACGCCUGCCCGGUGCCGGAAGGUUAAUUGAUGGGGUCAGCGCAAGCGAAGCUCCUGAUCGAAGCCCCGGUAAACGGCGGCCGUAACUAUAACGGUCCUAAGGUAGCGAAAUUCCUUGUCGGGUAAGUUCCGACCUGCACGAAUGGCGUAAUGAUGGCCAGGCUGUCUCCACCCGAGACUCAGUGAAAUUGAACUCGCUGUGAAGAUGCAGUGUACCCGCGGCAAGACGGAAAGACCCCGUGAACCUUUACUAUAGCUUGACACUGAACAUUGAGCCUUGAUGUGUAGGAUAGGUGGGAGGCUUUGAAGUGUGGACGCCAGUCUGCAUGGAGCCGACCUUGAAAUACCACCCUUUAAUGUUUGAUGUUCUAACGUGGACCCGUUACCCGGGUUGCGGACAGUGUCUGGUGGGUAGUUUGACUGGGGCGGUCUCCUCCUAAAGAGUAACGGAGGAGCACGAAGGUUGGCUAAUCCUGGUCGGACAUCAGGAGGUUAGUGCAAUGGCAUAAGCCAGCUUGACUGCGAGCGUGACGGCGCGAGCAGGUGCGAAAGCAGGUCAUAGUGAUCCGGUGGUUCUGAAUGGAAGGGCCAUCGCUCAACGGAUAAAAGGUACUCCGGGGAUAACAGGCUGAUACCGCCCAAGAGUUCAUAUCGACGGCGGUGUUUGGCACCUCGAUGUCGGCUCAUCACAUCCUGGGGCUGAAGUAGGUCCCAAGGGUAUGGCUGUUCGCCAUUUAAAGUGGUACGCGAGCUGGGUUUAGAACGUCGUGAGACAGUUCGGUCCCUAUCUGCCGUGGGCGCUGGAGAACUGAGGGGGGCUGCUCCUAGUACGAGAGGACCGGAGUGGACGCAUCACUGGUGUUCGGGUUGUCAUGCCAAUGGCACUGCCCGGUAGCUAAAUGCGGAAGAGAUAAGUGCUGAAAGCAUCUAAGCACGAAACUUGCCCCGAGAUGAGUUCUCCCUGAGACUUAGAGUCUCCUGAAGGAACGUUGAAGACGACGACGUUGAUAGGCCGGGUGUGUAAGCGCAGCGAUGCGUUGAGCUAACCGGUACUAAUGAACCGUGAGGCUUAACCUUACAACGCCGAAG
rnacentral:rRNA from 1 species